AGUGAACGCUGGCGGUAGGCCUAACACAUGCGAGUCGAACGGCAGCACAGUAAGAGCUUGCUCUUACGGGUGGCGAGUGGCGGACGGGUGAGGAAUACAUCGGAAUCUACUUUUUCGUGGGGGAUAACGUAGGGAAACUUACGCUAAUACCGCAUACGACCUACGGGUGAAAGCAGGGGAUCUUCGGACCUUGCGCGAUUGAAUAAGCCGAUGUCGGAUUAGCUAGUUGGCGGGGUAAAGGCCCACCAAGGCGACGAUCCGUAGCUGGUCUGAGAGAAUGAUCAGCCACACUGGAACUGAGACACGGUCCAGACUCCUACGGGAGGCAGCAGUGGGGAAUAUUGGACAAUGGGCGCAAGCCUGAUCCAGCCAUACCGCGUGGGUGAAGAAGGCCUUCGGGUUGUAAAGCCCUUUUGUUGGGAAAGAAAAGCAGCAGGUUAAUACCCCGCUGUUCUGACGGUACCCAAAGAAUAGGCACCGGCUAACUUCGUG
rnacentral:rRNA from 1 species